UUUUGUAGGGGUAUGGGGCUUAGGGUAGGGUUAUAAGCUAAAAUUUGCAAUGAAGAGUCACAACUCGCCGCAACGAGCUUCCUCACCUCGAUCCACCAUCCGCGUCUCGUGUUCUCUCUCGGAAAGGACGUCGAAUGAAGAAUCAAGGACGACGAAUAAAUUUGAUGUGCCGGUCUUCGAGAUGUCCAAAACGUGAAGCUUCAUCGCGUCGGAUCCCAGUAUCUUCCAUCUACUGCGCGCUAUCGGUGAUGAAUCAUGAUGACCCCAAAGACCGUCUAAUCACGAAACCAGUAACGACUUGCAAACGCGUCGAAUCAAAAGAAAGAGAUCAGAAAUGAGGAAUACUUAUUGACCUGAAACUACGUGUGUAUGAAUCUGCGAUUAUUGAUGCGAUUAUUGAUGCGAUUUUCUGUGAGAUUCUUCUUCUUCUUGAUCGGUUCCUGUUCAUGAACAUGGCCGGAAAUGGAUCUUGUACUUGUCUCGAACACCAAAGGCCAAUCGAAUAUGAAAUUGUUGUUACUUAGAUUCGUCUUCGGCUUCGACAAAUCGAUCUCCUCCUCAACCCCGACCUCCCUAACCAAAUUGAAUCUUCGAAGUCGCGAUUUAUUCUGAUUAUGGAGUCGUGUACAAUCUCUGCAUAAGUAUCGAAAUCUUGUUUCUUUCUGCUUCCUGUUAUACUUCUUCUGACUUCCAUGUUUGUUAGGUAGAAAGUGAGAAUAUCGCCUUGCCGCGUCAAGAUCCAAACUGUGGAAUUGGAACUUCCAGCUGCAGAAAGGGAAAACUCGUAUUGCAGAGCAAAGCUGCCUAGUUGCAGCAAGAACAAAUUCGGAUGCAAGAGGAAGUUUCGCUUGCAAAGUCCUCGCGGAAUGAUUGUGGAAUAUGAAAUGAUGGAGGUGAGACUUUGAGAGAAUGAAGAACUCAGAAUCCGUCUGGAAUUUUCAAGGACGAAAAUGGAAUGAAGAGUGCAGGAUCAAAGGAUGGUGGCUUGAGGAAUGAUUUGAGGUGGUGAAGAAGAUGAAGAUUGAAAACUCCAAAAAGGUUCUGCAGUAAGGUAUGUCCUUUUAUAGGUUUCAAAGUCGGUUAGAAAUUUGAUGAAACUCACUGGUUAGGUACACAUACCAAAUUCAGUUAGAAAUCUAAGUUGAAAAAUGAAUUUUCUAUUAUGAAAAUGGUUAUAGUGUUGUUAAAAAUCAUUUUUUUGAUUGAAAUCUGUUGGAAGUUAGUUUAACAGAAAUCCUAUUAAAGUAGUUAGUAUGUUAAAAAAUGUUAGCAUUAGUUAGUGUCAAUUCUGUUACGACCAUUUGUUAGUUAGGUUAAUCGGUUAGUUUUAGGUUUAGUUAGUUAACAAGCUAAAUCAGUUAGUUUUACUAAAAGUCAAUCAGUUAACAAGUUGGUUUUUGAGUUGGUUUCAAUUUGUUGUCGGUUGGUUGUGAAGUUGUUAAGUUCUGUUACGAAGUUUGUUUUAACUUCUCAAUGAAAUACAAAAUUCAUAGAACUCUAAAUUGAAACAUGAACUUUCCUGUUAUGAAAAUGGUUGGUUGUAAUGGUUGUUGUCAGUGUGCAGGUUGUUCAUGGCUCCGGAUUGUUGUGUGUUAGCUUUAUGGUUAGAAAAUAUUUGCUGAAUGUUGGUGUAUGUGUCUGCAAGUUUGGAUGCAAUGAAAGGAAUUUCUUUUGGUGGCUACUGCUAGUUGCAUUGUGGGUCUGUUUUCACGGAUUGAAGCAUUGUUGUGGAAUUUUGUUGUAACUUGGCUCCGUGAUGCAGGUUGCAGGUCGUCUGCAGUUUUAGAAAUGGUUGCUAAGGAUUAACAUGAUGACCUACUAGUGCAGGUGAAAUGCAUGUAUCAUGGUGAUGGCGGCCAAUGCGGUCAAAUGGCCUUGAACUUUCUUUUCAGUAGUAUCGUUAUGUAAUGUGACAAAGUAAAUGUAGAUAUAACAGUGGUUGUAACUCUUGAUUUAUGUGAUAAAAACCAUAUUUUGUGAUAAAUAUCAAAUCAAUUUAGUUGCUUCA